rnacentral:rRNA from 1 species
AGGCCCUACGGGGCGCAGCAGUGAGGAAUAUUGGUCAAUGGGCGGGAGCCUGAACCAGCCAAGUCGCGUGAGGGAAGAUGGUCCUAUGGAUUGUAAACCUCUUUAGGCGGGGAGCAAUGCCGGGCACGUGUGCCCGGAGGGAGAGUACCCGCAGAAUAAGCAUCGGCUAACUCCGUGCCAGCAGCCGCGGUAAUACGGAGGAUGCGAGCGUUAUCCGGAUUUAUUGGGCUUAAAGGCUGCGUAGGCGGAUUUUUAAGUCAGCGGUAAAAUGUCCGGGCU